rnacentral:tRNA from 1 species
GCGCUUGUGGCGGAAUUGGUAGACGCGCCAGACUUAGGAUCUGGUAUCUUCCGAUGUGCAGGUUCGAGUCCUGUCAGGCGCACCA